CGCGGCCUAUCAGCUUGUUGGUGGGGUAAUGGCCUACCAAGGCUUCGACGGGUAGCCGGCCUGAGAGGGUGACCGGCCACACUGGGACUGAGACACGGCCCAGACUCCUACGGGAGGCAGCAGUGGGGAAUAUUGGACAAUGGGCGGAAGCCUGAUCCAGCAACGCCGCGUGAGGGAUGACGGCCUUCGGGUUGUAAACCUCUUUCAGCACAGACGAAGCGCAAGUGACGGUAUGUGCAGAAGAAGGACCGGCCAACUACGUGCCAGCAGCCGCGGUAAUACGUAGGGUCCGAGCGUUGUCCGGAAUUAUUGGGCGUAAAGGGCUCGUAGGCGGUUUGUCGCGUCGGGAGUGAAAACACCGGGCUUAACUCGGUGCUUGCUUUCGAUACGGGCAGACUAGAGGCAUUCAGGGGAGAACGGAAUUCCUGGUGUAGCGGUGAAAUGCGCAGAUAUCAGGAGGAACACCGGUGGCGAAGGCGGUUCUCUGGGAAUGUCCUGACGCUGAGGAGCGAAAGUGUGGGGAGCGAACAGGAUUAGAUACCCUGGUAGUCCACACCGUAAACGUUGGGCGCUAGGUGUGGGAUCCAUUCCACGGGUUCCGUGCCGCAGCUAACGCAUUAAGCGCCCCGCCUGGGGAGUACGG
rnacentral:rRNA from 1 species